rnacentral:lncRNA from 1 species
GGCAUCAACUUGAAAGUUAUUUGAGGAGAAAGGGAGAUUUAUAAUGAUGAUUCAAAUGAAGCAAACUAAAAAAUAAUGAAGCAAGACGAGGAAAAAGCAGUAUUCACUUGAGCACAUCCCAAAAGAAUAACAUUUCAAAUAUGAUGAUUAUUCUCCACCUUCUAAGAGACAAAGACCAACGAGCCACCACAGCCACCAGUCCCGGAACCCGCCAAUGCUGGGGAACCGAAAGUGAGGGAGUUCAACUCUGAGAAAUGGAAUAAUCGUAUGGCUGAUCUAUGUAAACAAGUUGAAGAAUUGUCUGAAAGAAAAUAUGGUAUGUCUAAACUGGAAAAGUCCUGUAAUCCUUUGUUCAUGAGCAUUUACACAAUGGAGUUACUGUUCAUCAUGGGGUACUGUGGACAAGCCCAGGGCUGCUGGUGAAUCCUGCCAUACUUACAGGUUUCUCCUUGUAAGGUUCUUUGUAGUGUCUAAAUAUUAGAAACAUUCUUUGUUUCUAGAUUACUGCAAAGCUAAGGAAAAGUUGUACUUCUUUAAUUAUCAUUAUCAUUUCUUUUAAACUUUCAGCAUGGAUAUUGGAGAUUUACUUACAUAUUUAUUGCAAAGCCCUGGAUCUUAGGGAUUUAAUUGAAUGUUUUAAUACUGUUUCUCUUAAUCUGCCUUGUUAAAUUUGGU